rnacentral:lncRNA from 1 species
GGCUUUGAAUCUGACUCACUGUUUAUAUAGUUGACAUGUGUACACUUGAGCCAAUGGAUUUGUGACAUCUGGACAUGGAGAAAAAUGGCACGGCCUUGUAAUUUUGGACCUUGAGGACCUCCCUGCAAUUUUGUAAAAUAUAGGACUGGACUGCAAUUUUAAAAACAGAACUAAAAAAUAUAAAAUUGGACAAUUUGGACUUGAAUGCAAUUUUAACAAAAUUAAGGGACUAAAAUGCAAAGUAAAAAAAAUGAAUUAAAAUUUGUAAUUUUGACCAAACGUAAAGUGAAACAAAAAUAAAACUGACAAAACGAACUAAAACGAACCAAUGGCUUAAAUGAGGUACUUCAAAGUAACCUCCCUAUGCCAAAAUUUCGUAUGAAAUGACCAAAAUGCCCCUGGGGCUAAAAAUGACCUAAACCAACUCAAAUUGACUCUGUCACUGACUCAGAUGCAAGUUUGAAAUGAAUUUAAACAGGGUUUUACUGAUGAAAUGUUAAAAAUGAAUUUGAAAAGACUCAGAGACAGUCACAAGGAUGAAAAUGGGUCCCACUGCAGGAAAUGACCAAAAUACCCUUCUGUAUGACUUUUUGCAAAUUUUGAAAUAAACUGUAGAAAAAGCAAUGCAAUGAUUCAGAGACACUUUUGAAUGACUUAUAAGACAAGUAAAGACAUUUCAAAAGGUUUUAUGCAAGAAAAACACAGGUAAAAUUGUAAUUGGAAAUACUGCGAGGCAAAGACAAUUUGAACUGUGCAGUUGAAAUUUGAUAAUUGACAAAGUUUGAAAUGAAAUUGGGCCCAAUAUUUUUAGGUCCAAAAACAGGGUAUAACAGCUGCCCCUAUUUAAGUUUCUUUGUCUGGAGAGUCAAGAGACGGAGCCUUUGGCUUGACAGGACGAAGAUACUUAAAUAUUAGCAUUUGCACUGUGUUUGGACGUAAAAAUACGCCUACCCAUUUUCAAAUAAUAUGCAUGCCAUGCAUCAUUUGGAUUAUGAAUGCAAGACCUCAUGGGGAUUGGAAUUAACAAAAUAUGUCGUAUCCAUUGCGGGAUUGGUAGACAUUGACAAAGAUAGUGAAUAGCAGAGUAACGGGAAACUAGAAACAAGUUGGACAGGUACAAGCUGUUUUUGGAUUCGAACUAGCCACUUGACCGGGAAUGAAACAAACAGACAACUGCGAGUUGUUCUUAUGGAUUCGAACUGGUCACUUCACAGGGGAUAGAGGUUACUGGACAAACAUGAGUUGUUCUUAUGGAUUCGAACUGGUAACUCACUUGGGGAUAUUGGAAAGUGCGAGUUGUUCUUAUGGAUUCGAACUGGUGACCCGACUGGGAAAAAGAGAAAAUUGGCAAGUACGAGUUGUUCUUACGGAUUCGAACUGGUGACUCGACUGAAAACAAGGCAAAUAGACAGGUGCGAGCUUGUUCUUGGAUGCGAACUGGUUACUCCACCGGACAGAAACAGAUAGACAGAUACAAGCUGCUCUUGGAUUGAGCUAGUCACUUGACCAAACAGAAACAUAUUGACAGGUACGAGCUGCUCUUGGAUUGAGCUGGGCACUCGACCGAUAACGUAAGCAAAUUGACAGGUACAAGCCGUUCUUGGACUUGAACUAGCCACUUGACCAAACAGAAACAUAUUCACUGGGGAUUAGUUUGUUUGACAAAAUAUAGAUUGAGAUUGACUUGACGUCGAUUUGAUUUGAAAGGUAGAAAUUGACCGAUAUUAUUGGCUCACAAGGUUUUGACAGAGAACCUGACAUGAAUAUCGAAUUGGGACUGAUGUUGACAUUGGAAAUGCGAUAUGCAUGGAUGAUAUAACAGUUUCAUUAAAUGCACGGGCACGUAAUAUGCAUGAUUAUGCAUGUAUGAAUGCUUGUAAUGCAUGAUCGUUGGCAGUUUGUAGGCACGACUUCGCGGGAAAGACAAGACAUUGGAGUAUUGGGCACGUAGUGGCUCGUGCUAUAUUACACAUUCUUGGAAAUCCUCUUUGGGGAUGACGUCGUUGGGAGACGUGUCGGAACCAUAGCUGAGGGCAGGUAGAUAUACAACUUGCUGGAGAUAGAAUCUUGGGAGACCUGACUGGGGAGAACGCCGUUGUGCUGGGCAUUUCAGCGCUGGGUAUGUUGUAGACAUUGCAUCUGUGGUCAAUGCUUUUUGCAUGUUAUUUUCUCAAUUUCAUUCAUUCAUUUUUUGCAUCCCAUUUUUGCCUGGAUCGCCCUUUCGGUUUUCGAUCCACCGGGGAAAUAAAUUCUUUUCAAUGCCCCAUUUUUGCCUGAAUUGUCCUUUCGGGUUAUCAAUCCAGCGGGGUGCUCAUUUUUGCCUAAGCCGCCCUUUCGGGUUUUCAACUUAGCGAGCCUAUUCAAUUUCAUGCAUUUUCAUUCUGUUUUUUCAUUCUUGCCAUUGACCACAGACUAUCCUGGAGGAGAACCUGCUUGUAACAUAUAUUGAAAUAGACAUCAACAUACUCUCGCUCAUGCAUGUUUCAUUUGAAUGUACCCUGUUGCUCAGGUUUGCUUUUCAAAAUAGACAAAAAGUUUUCAAUUUUCAAAAAUGUUCGUUUCAGGCAUUGUCAUUAUCAAAAUAGAAAGAAAAUGAUUUGUAUAUAGCUUUGAAAGUAGAAGAAAGUAGAGUUUUAAACAAAAGCACAGGCUCAAUUUGAUGUAUAAGAGUGGUAGUCGGCCAAAGGCAUGACCCCACGAAUUCACAAAGCUUGGAAAAUGGUAAUUUUAUUGGUUGGUGGUACAUUGAACACAGUAAUCACUACAUUUCUUAGAAACUUUGAAUCCACAAGUACAGAAGCUUUUGAUGAAGACGGUCAUUAACAGCUGCAGAUGCCCCAAGGGAGACGGUGGUUGGCCAGAUAUAGUUACUUGCCUUUUGUUUCAAUCUCAUUUUUGCAUGAACCGCCCUUCCGGGUUUUCGGCUCAUCGAGACGCUCAUUCUUGCCUGAGUUGUGUUCAAUCUCAGCGAGCUUUUCAUAUUUAUUUUUUGUCCCUUAUUUUUGCCUGGACCGCCCUUUCGGGUUUUCGAUCCACCGGGAAGCGCAUUUUUGCCUAGGCCGCCCUUUCGGGUUUUCGACCUACCACGCUGUUCUUUUCAUAUUUCUAGGCAAAGUAUUUCUUGACUAUAUCAGCAUUCACUGGAUUUGGAAGUUCUACACCAUCCAUGUGUGUAAGGAUUAAAGCACCACCGGAGAAGGCCUUCUUGACAACAUAAGGACCUUCAUAGUUAGGCGUCCACUUGCCCCUUGGGUCGGGUUGCUGGCUUAUCCUCCUUUUCAAUACAAGUUCCCCUACCUUGAAUUCUCGAGGAUGGACUUUCUUGUCAAAAGCAGUCUUCAUUCUUGCUUGAUAUGACUGUCCACGAGCCAUGGCAUCCAUACGUUUUUCCUCAAUCAAAUUCAACUGAUCGUACCGGCUUUGGCACCAUUCAGCCUCAGAUAACUUUGCUUCCAUGAUCACACGGAGAGAUGGGAUCUCCACUUCCAAAGGAAGAACUGCUUCCAUACCAUAUACAAGAGAGAAAGGGGUUGCCCCGGUUGAACUGCGCACGGUAGUACGGUAGCCAUGCAGAGCAUAGGGUAACAUCUCAUGCCAGUCCUUGUAAGUGGUUACCAUCUUCUGGACAAUUCUUUUGAUAUUCUUGUUGGCGGCCUCAACUGCACCAUUCAUCUGAGGUCUAUAAGGAGAAGAGUUAUGAUGCUCAAUUUUGAAUUCUUCACAAAGAGCUUGCACCACAUUGUUGUUCAGGUUGGUACCAUUGUCGGUAAUAAUCUUGCUGGGAACACCAUAUCGACAGAUGAUGUUGUUCUUGAUAAACUUAGCUACCACUUGCUUGGUCACAUUGGUAUAAGAUGCUGCUUCAACCCACUUGGUGAAGUAGUCAAUUGCCACUAGGAUGAAACGAUGACCAUUCGAAGCAUUUGGUUCAAUCCUUCCGAUCAUGUCGAUGCCCCACAUUGAGAACGGCCAUGGGGAUGACAUAACAUUGAGAGCGUGCGGAGGCACAUGAAUCUUAUCAGCAUAGAUUUGACAUUUGUGGCAUUUUCUGGCGUAUUGGUAGCAAUCAUGCUCCAUGGCCAUCCAGUAGUAACCUGCCCGUAGCAACUUUCUUGACAUAGUAUGCCCUGUAGCAUGGGUCCCGAAGGUACCGUCAUGUACAUCAUGCAUUAACUGCUCUGCUUCGUGUUCAUCAACACAUCUUAACAGUACCAUGUCAUAGUUCCUCUUGUACAGGAUAUCUCCAUCUAACAGGAAUCUACUGGCCAAUCUUCUCAAGGUUUUCUUGUCUUGUUUGGAAGCACCCGACGGAUACUCACGGCUCAGCAAGAACUGUUUGAUGUCGUAGUACCAGGGUCUAUAGUCAACCACAUUUUCACCAGCCUGAUCGAUCACAUCCCCAAUAGCAAACACAUGUGAAGGUCUUUCAAGGCGUUGCACUUUGAUUAUUGGCACAUCAUUCCAAUGGUUUACUCGAAACAUGGAGGAUAGAGUAGCAAGAGCAUCAGCCAUUUGGUUCUCAUCACGAGGAAUAUGGUGCAGCUCAACCUUUGUAAAAUACGUCAGCAAACGUCUCGCAUAAUCACGAUAAGGAAUCAACUUAGCAUGGUGAGUCUCCCAUUCACCCUUUAUCUGAUUGAUGACGAGCGCAAAAUCUCCAUAGAUGUCGAGGUGUUUGAUUCUCAUGUCAAUUGCUUCCUCGAUCCCAAAGAUACAUGCUUCAUACUCAGCCAUAUUGUUGGUACAUUCGAACAAGAUUCUGGCGGUAAAAGGAAUGUGAUGCCCCUGCGGGGAUACAAUGACUGCCCCAAUUCCUUUACCAUAAGCAUUGACAGCACCAUCAAAGACUAAACCCCACCUGCUAUUGGGAUCUGGACCUUCAUUAAUCAACGGUUCUUCGCAGUCUUUUGAUUUCAAAUACAUGAUCUCUUCAUCGGGGAAGUUGAAUUCAAUUGGUUGAUAAUCAUCAAGAGGUUGGUAAGCAAGAUGAUCUGCAAGAAUGCUACCUUUGAUUGCCUUUUGAGCUUUGAACACAAUAUCAUAUUCAGACAACAACAUCUGCCAGCGUGCAAUCUUUCCAGUAACGGCCGCUUUCUCAAAGAUAUACUUUAUCGGAUCCAUUCUGGAUAUCAGCCAAGUUGUAUGAUUCACCAAAUAAUGACGCAGGCGUUUGGCAGCCCAAGCUAGAGCACAACAAGUCUUUUCAAGCAUUGUAUACCGAGUUUCACAAUUGGUGAACUUCUUGCUUAGGUAGUAGAUAGCAUGUUCUUUCUUUCCGGUCUCAUCUUGUUGACCAAGUACACAUCCCAUGGAUUCAUCAAAUACUGCCAAAUACAUAAUCAAAGGCCUUCCUUCCACGGGUGGGACAAGGAUAGGUGGUUCCAACAAGUAAUUCUUGAUGCUAUCAAAAGCCUCUUGGCAUUCAUCAUUCCAUACAACAGGCUGGUUCUUUCUGAGUAGCUUGAAGAUCGGCCCGCAGGUUGCGGUCAUGUGAGAUAUGAACCGAGAGAUGUAAUUCAAACGCCCGAGGAAACCUCUGACUUGCUUCUCUGUCUGUGGAGCUGGCAUUUCUCGGAUGGCCCGGACUUUAUCAGGAUCGACUUCAAUGCCCUUUUGGCUGACAACGAAGCCUAAUAACUUUCCGGACCUGACACCGAAUGUACAUUUGUUGGGAUUCAAUCGCAGCUUAUAUUUUCUCAACCUUUCAAACAUCUUUGUUAAAUAUUCAACAUGUUGCUCUUCAUUUGUUGACUUCACAAUCAUAUCAUCCACAUAUACUUCGACUUCUUUGUGAAUCAUGUCAUGAAACAGAGUAGUCAUUCCCCUUUGGUAGGUAGCGCCAGCAUUAAUUAGACCGAAUGGCAUCACUUUGUAGCAGAAAGUACCCCAUGGAGUGAUAAAAGAUGUCUUUUCUCUAUCUUCAGGAGACAUUUUGAUCUGAUUAUAACCGGAGAAACCGUCCAUGAAGGAGAACACCUUAGACUGAGCAGUAUUAUCAACAAGCACAUCAAUAUGAGGUAACGGAAAGUUGUCUUUUGGACUGGCUUUAUUCAGGUCUCUGAAGUCAACACACAUCCGGACUUUACCACCCUUCUUUGGCACAGGCACGAUAUUGGCAACCCAUUCAGGAUACUCAACUGUCAUUAGGAAACCCGCAUCAAUCUGUUUUUGAACCUCGCUCUUAAUCUUGAGAGCCAUAUCAGGAUGAGUCCUUCUCAAUUUCUGCCUGACGGGAGGACAUUCAGGCUUGGUGGGGAUCCGAUGCUCCACAAUCAUAGGGUCUAGACCUGGCAUAUCUUCAUAGGACCAUGCAAAAAUAUCCGGAUAUUCCCGGAGGAGCUGGAUGAUCUUCUGUUUAACCCCUUCCUCUAGAGUAGCACCAAUCUUGAUUUCUCGCUUGUUUUCCUCGGUACCUAUGUUGAUAAGCUCAAUCUCUUCCUGGUGAGGCUGAAUGGCUUUCUUUUCUUGCUCAAGUAACCGAGUAAUCUCAUAUGGUAUGUCAUCACCUUCUUCAUCUUCGGCUUCAUACACGGGGAAUUCAAAAUUUGGAGGAACCGUAGGAUUACUGUGUUCAACGGGUUUAUUAUGGUUCAACCUGCAUAUAAUGAUUGGAUGAUUUUAGAAAGAGUUUUUUUUUUUUCAUGCAGAUUUUUGAAAUUAAUAAGAAAAUACAGACGUUUUGGUUUUUUCUGGCAUUACCAUUAUUUCCAAGGGAAAAAGCACUAAAAAAAGUAGUCGUGGAAGAAACGACAAAGUUUUAUUAAUCAACGGCAAUGCCGAAACAAACAUGCCCUUACAGAAAAUAUCACUCUCGCUUUGGGCAGAGCGAGAGGAUCGUUAUUUUGAAAACAAAGCAUUAAAGCAACAAGACACAUUACUCAGAAACAUGCAUGAUUGAAGGAAUGUCAAUGGCAUCCCAAUCUCUAGCAAUGCCUCCUGGUGUAACGAAUACAGGCCUGAGACCAGAUCCAGUGGCUUCUUCAGAGAUAGCAUUAACAAACCCAGCACUGUGGAAGACUCCCGAGGAAACCCUUGAUGACGGAGAGAACCCGAGACCUUCUUUACGCUUGUUCUCACAGAGCUGUAUCACCUUGCCCCAGCCGGCAGUCUGACCCUCUUGGAUGGCUCUCUGAGCAUCUUUCAAUGAAGCCAUAGCAGCCCCAGCUUCCUUAGGCUCUGCACCUUCAAUGGUCAAACCUUGGAAAGCAGUCCCUUCAGCAGACCCUGCAUCGUGUAUCCACGGUCUUCCCAGCAGACAACUGUAGGAUGCAUUAAUGUCCAUCACUUGGAAGGUAAUCAAGAAAUUCUCAGGGCCAAUGGUUAUUGGCAAGUCUAUCUCCCCCAGCACAUUCUUUCGAGAUCCAUCAAAAGCUUUGACCAAGAAAGUACUUCUUCUCAAAGGGGUCCCUCGGUAGCUCAACUGAUCUAGAGUUGUCUUGGGCAUUACAUUGAGGGAGGAACCGGUAUCCACCAACACAUUUGAUAUCAUGUCUGAUUUACAAUUCACCGAGAUGUGCAAAGCCAGAUUGUGACUCUUUCCCACUUCCGGCAACUCUUCUUCACUGAACCAGAGGUUGUUACAAGCAGUAAUAUUUCCCACUAUGCCACCGAACCGAUCUACCGUAACUUCGUGGUCAACAUAAGCCUGCUCCAGCACUUUCAACAAGGUAUUCCUGUGAGCCUCAGAGCUCAAGAGUAAUGACAAUACAGAUAUCUUCGAAGGAGUCUGCAGCAAUUGAUCAACGAUCUUGUAGUCGCUCCUCUUUAUUAUCCUCAGAAUCUCAUCUAAAUUCAAAUCCUCUAUAGAUUUGCCUGGCUGGUUCAUAUCUGUAGCAAUGGGUGAAACAACGGUUGGAGUUGCUUCUUCAACUGGUGGAAUGGUCGGCGUAGCUACCUUUUUCUGAAAUAAUGGCGGACGAACUUUCCCGCUUCUUAGCGCCGCAGAAGUCCCUUCGGCAAUAUUGCUUACUGUGGCAAAGGAGGCUAGAGGCACCUCUACUCCAUUUUCUAUCAUAGUAGCAUUGUACUUGUUAUCAUGGUUUUUGGGUGCCAAGCCAUUAAUUGGACUUGUACCUUUCAACCGUUGAUAUCUCUCUUUUUUCUUGGGAAGGGAAAAAUUGAGAAAAAAUCCUUAGAUUCUAAGUUCGGGGGUCGGUUUUACUACGGGAAGGUGUUAGGCACCCGGAGUAACUAUAGUCCUCUAUAGGAGCCGUUAUCCUAAGUCUAUAUUCACGCUUAUUUUUACUUACUUUUGAAAAUGGGAGGUUUAUUUAGUUAAGAAUGGGGGGAGAAGUUGCAAGACUUUGAUUUUUUAUUUCGGCUUGGAUGAGUUUUGACUCAUUGCCUACGUACCGUUUUACGGGAUCAAAACCGGCGUAGUUCUUACUCAAAAAUAGUUUUUGUUUUUGUUGGUUGAUUUUAAGUUUGAAAAGAGAUUUUGAAGAAUAGAGACGAGAGGCCUCAAGGGCAUUAGAUUUAGCAAAAAGUGAGGUUUGAUUAGUGAUUGAAAAGAAAGUCUAAAUGGUUAAGAUGAAUUGAAUUUUUCUUAAGAAAAAAGGAAAGGAAAAAAUGAAGUGUUGACUUCAUAUUUAUUAUGAAAAUUUUGAAGUGAAGUUCAAUUGUUUUUUUUUUUGGAAAAAGAUGGAUUUUCUCUAAGUGUUUAAAACCUAAACGCUUAUUUAACCAUGCAAUCCUAUGCAUACAUCUAAGGUGAGUAUGUGCGUGUCGGUGCGUCAUAGUGUCCAUAGUCCAUAUUACAACAUUUCCUAAAUACAUUCUAUGGCCUCUUUGCCAAGCUACAAACCAAUGGUAAAAUAUUACAUCACCAAAUGAAUUACAAUUUGUAAAAGAGAAAACUAAACUAAAGAAGACAAUAGUGAGGAUAAUGAAGUGCUAUGAAGUGAUCAACAUGAAAGGAAAUGUUAGUAGAAAAUGGUAAAAGAAGAAUACGGCAUAAAGUGAUAGAAGAAAGUAUGGCAUAAGACGAUAGAGUGACGAUGAAAAUAAGCCGGAAACAUGUGAUGAAUAAUGCGUAUGAUGCAAGAAUAAAACCUAACACAUCAAAACAGUGACAUACGCAUAGCAAACAGUAGCAAAAUUCAUAUGAAAUAGUAUGCAAAUCAAACAUGACGAAUACAAACAUUAUGCAUACGAGGUAACGGGUAAAAAUGCGAGAAAAGUGACUCAAAAUAGUAAAAACCCUUGACAAAACAACACUAAAAUUUUUAUCAACUUUUCCAAGUAAAAUACCACUGAAAAUUAUCAAGAAAAAUAGUAAAAUGACGUAGUAAAUUUCUUGGAAUUUAUUGGUAAAAAUUAGCAUGAACAACGGGUGCAAACAGCAGGCAAGUGGUGCAAGUAGCAAAAAAACAAAAAAAACGUGAAAACAGACUAAGCCCAAACCCAAAGCCCAAAGUCAAAACACAGGAAAACGCAGGGACCGUUGGAUUGAUCCAGGAGAUGGAACCCUAGAUCCAACGGUCUAGAUUGAGGGAAACGAACCAAAGCUGGACCGGUCCGGUUCAGCUGCUUAUAAAAGGAUUACAGGACCGGUCCAGUCCAUUUUUCCUUCUCCUCUCUCUCUCUAACCCUAAACCUAGUGAGAGAAGCUCUCACCUCUCUCCUCUCCUCCGGUUGUCUUCUCCGGUGAGCUUCACCGCUCCGGUGUGGUGGCUUGCCGGCCCAACAGGGCGGCGCCGCCGCACCGGAGGCGAGAAAUUCCACCGUUUUCAAAAUUUUCUUACAGAUUAAGACAUCCUUUUUCGUUCUAAACAAGAAUAUGGCGUUAGAUUUUGCAUGCAAGGUUUGAAUCGUUAUAGAUCUGAGGUUUUAUGUCACGGUUUUAAAACUCCUUUUUUCCUUUGAAACUUUCUUGGAUCAAAUCUUUUUAUCCUUCUUGAUCUGUAACGAUUCGCUUACGUUGAUGCUUUUUGAAAAGGGAAAAGCGAGGUUCACGCGUUUACGGUUACGGUUACGGUUUGUGAUUCUGGAAAAAAUUUGAUAUGCUUGCGUGAUUUUUACAGGUUUAACUAUGAUUUUAUUUUGAAAAUGAGGUUCUGAGUUUUACCUGAUGUUUGUGAUGGAGAUUCUGUUGAGUUUCUCCGGGAAACUUGAUUCUGUGCUUUCUGUGUUGUUGAUUCUUGGCUUUGACACUGAAAAUAAAUCAGUGAUCCUUUGUCUGCUUCACCGGUUCAGUCUUCUUCGUUUUCUUUCCCUCUUCUUCUCACUGUCCCCUUCGUGAUCGUGCUUGAGUCCGUUGCUAACAGCGAUGGAUUCGCACUCGUAUUGUGAAGGAGGCGAUUCAAUGAUGAAGAUUCAGUAUUGAAUCUCUGAGAAUUGCAGAGAAUUUGAUGAAUUUGUUGAUGAUUCAAUGAUUCUGGUGAUUCUGAAAAACGGUUAGGGUUUGAAUGUUCUUGGUGUUCUUGAGAAAUUCUGAGAAUUUUCUGUUUUUGAUCUAAUUGCUGAGAAAGAGAAAAUUUGGAAUGUGUUUAUGAGUUGGCGUGUGAUUGUGGCUCUGCGUGGCACUGUGCACCUUUUAUAGCAUGACAUGUGUGCCUCUGAACAAAUGAGAAAGUGACACCUGGACCUGAAAAAAAAAGAGUGACACGGCCUUGUACAAAAAAUGGACUUUUCUGCAAAAAACAACACUUAAGGACUAAACUGUAAUUGACCAAAAAAGGACUGAAAUGUAAAAAAAGAAAAUUCUGGACUAAAAAUGCAAUUUUGGGACCUCAAUUGAGGGACCAAAAUGCAAUUAAAAAUGAAAUUGAAUAAAAAACGUAAUUUGACCAAACGUAAAGCGAAACAAAAAUAAAAUUGACAAAACGGACUAAAACGAACCAAUGGCCUAAAUGAGGUACUUCAAAGUAACCUCCCCAUGCCAAAAUUUCAUGUGAAAUGACCAAAAUGCCCCUAGGGCUAAAAACGACCUAAACUGAAUCAAAUUGACUUGACACUGACUCAGAUGCAAGUUUGAAAUGAAUUUUAACAAAGUUUACUGAUGGAAAGUUAAAAAUGAAUUUGAAAAGACUCAGAGACAGUCACAAGGAUGAAAAUGGGUCCCACUGCAGGAAAUGACCAAAAUACCCUUCUGUAUGACUUUUUGCAAAUUUUGAAAUAAACUGUAGAAAAAAGCAAUGUAAUGAUUCAGAGACACUUUUAAAUGACUUACAAGACAAGUAAAGACAUUUUAAAAGGUUUUAUGCAAGAAAAACAUAGGUAAAAUUGUGAUUGAAAAUACUGCGAGGCAGAGACAAAUUGAACUGUGCAGUUGAAAUUUGAUAAUUGACAAGGUUUGAAAUGAAAUUGGACCUUGUAUUUUUAGGUCCAAAAACAGGGUAUAACAGUACUUGUAUGGCACUGCCUUGUCCGAAACAUAAGAAAUUGGUCCUGGCAACCUUAUCACCAAAGGCUCAGCAUUCUUCUUCAAAGGUACACUCUUGACAGGCGGAUCGUGAAAAACUGGCACGACCACGCAAACAUCACUGACAGUCAGAAGAUUAUCAUCCAUCAAGCUUUGGAUGUCGUCUUGAACAGUAUAGCAGCCCAAAGGAUCACAGAGGCAUCCUAGACACUUGGCAUGAUCAUGGCUGAACAGAGAGGCUUUGCACAGCUUGACGUGCAGAGGCACCAGAGGAGUGGCAACAUUGUGGACAUCAAGUCUAGGGGCUUCCUCACACACUUCGAUCAUAUUCACAGCGGCAUGAUUCGGUAGCGGAUUGUCGAGGACAUGCGGGACAUUAUUCUCAAAAGUCAGCUUUCCCUGAUCAAUGAGCUUCUUCACGAUAUACUUCAAAGCAUAACACCCCUCGACGUCAUGACCUAAUGCACCUUGAUGAAAAUCACAUUUGAGAUCAGACCUGAACCUUGGAGGCAACGGAUCAGGUGGGGGCUUACCCUGUCUAGUCGUGCAGUGUCCUCUCUGGAGUAAAGUUGGAAGAAGUUCUGCAUACAACAUUGGUAUAGGAGGAAAAGUUGGUCUAGCAUAUUGCUGCUGCUGCUGUUGAACUGGCGGUUGAUGUUGUACCUGCUGAGCGAUGGCAUUGACAGGAACCUGAGGUUGGCCGGGUGGCAAAGGGUACUGAUGAUAAAACGGUGGGAAGAACGGAUGCUGAGAAUACGGCAUAUAUGGGUAUGACGGAGGCAUUUGGGCUGCAUUGAUAGGAGCAACAGUAGUCAUUGAUUGACCGGCUCCAGCUGACACCAUCCCCACUUCCGUUUCCUUCUUCUUGUGGUGUCCAUUACCAUACCUCUUCGAUGCACUCGUAGAAGAUUCAGCUUUCUCAAACACAAUGAUUCCAUCCCUGACUGCUUCCUCAAGACGGGUUCCCAUAGUGACCAUCUCCGAAAAGUUGUUCGGGGCAGCGAUGAUCAUCCUCUCAACAUAAUCUUUCUUCAAGGUCUUUAAGAACGUCUGGGUCAUUUCUUCUUCAUCUAAAGCAGGAGUGAUACGGGCAGCUGCCCCUCUCCACCUUUGCGCAUAUUCACGGAAACUUUCCUCCUUCUUCUGAGAUAGGGACCUGAGAAACUUCCUAUUCGGCUUCAAUCAAGUGUUAAACCCAUAGUGGCUCUUGAAAGCAGUGGCUAGUUCAUCAAAAGUAUGGACAUCAUCUUUGCUCAGACUAGUAUACCACUCUGCAGCAUCUUCCAUCAGACUGUCUUGGAAGUAAUGGAUCAUAAGGGAAUCAUUGUCCUUGUAGUUGCCCAUCUUCCGGACAUAUUUGACAAUAUGAUUUUGAGGACAAGUCAGCCCGUUAUACUUGUCGAACUCCGGGACUUUGAACUUUUUUGGAGCAUCUACCUUCGAUACUAAGCAGAGGUCCUGGGUUUUAAUGGAGUCUCCAUUUCCCUUGUUGGCCUUAAUUUCCCGUCGGAGCUCUUUGGCAAGUUCUGCCAUUCUCUCUUCCAUAGUUCAGGUUGUGGCAAUACUCCCGUGGUGCGCAUUAGCAUGGACAAAUAGAGGCACCGCAUUCACAAUGGGCUCGGUAACAGUUGUUGCGGCUUGAGUCAAGGCGGUACUAACAGGAGUUAAAUUUGCCCCUGGGAUUGGGCCACUGUUGGUAGUACCAGAGGUCCCUGCCCCUGUAUUAGCAGUAUAGUACAGCGGAAGUCCGUAAGGAUACCCGGAUGGCAUGAUAAGGCGGGGAUCAGUUGUUACUGUAGGAGUCACAUUUGCAGCUGUAGAAACUAUGGGAACUGGUUGUUCCUGAGCAGCCAACAGAGCAGUCAUAGCAUCAUGAGCUUUGGCCAAUUCCUCCCUUAAAGAUGCCAAUUCAGUACGAAGCUGCGUGUUCUCUUCUUCCAUAGCCUUUUUCUUUCUUCUAUAUUCUCUGGUUCGAUCAGUUCUAUCAGGUUCGUAAAUCCUCUGAGCACGAGCCACUUUUCACACUGAGGCAGAGAAACCAGGAGAUAGUGAGCGCUUGGAAGCCUUUGUGACCGAUGUAUGAUGCAUAUGAUGCAUGAUAUGCAAAUGCAAAUGCGAAAGACUUAUUUUUUUUCAUCGAAGGAUUUUAAACAAAUUAGAAAUCUUGCAAAUAAUCAAAACUACAUAGUAUUUUCAAAAGGAAGACUUUGAAAUUUCAACAAGAUAAACAAAUGAAGCCCUCAAGCAUAGGAAGUAGUCGGAGGAUCAUCGGACUCGGAGUCUGAAUCACAGUAUCUGGCAAAGAAGUCUCGCCGUCCUCUGGCUCUCUUGGAAUCCCUCAUAAGCAGCUCGUCUUUCUCUUCCAAUUCCCUCCGGGCCUUAGCUAGUUCUUUCCUCAACAUCAGAUUCUCAUGAGUCUUCUGCUCAUCUCUACCAUCCAAAGUCAUGAUUAGAUUCUCGGCUUGAUUGUACCGAGCUUUCCACACUUGCUUCUCACGACCCUCCAUAGCUAGAUGCUCCUGAUACAUAUCCUGAGUCGCGGGGAGUAAAGGUAGAGGCAUAGAUGGAGUGGAUGAAGACACGUAUCUCAUAGCUGGAUAAGGCAUACCAAUCUCCUCAGCUCGGUCUAUCACCCACUGAGUAUAAGCCUCAUGAGCAACACCAGAUCUCACACCUAGAUGCUUCACACUCUUCCUUCGGACCUUAGACCAAGCAUCCAUGAAAGCUUUCCUUUGUCCGGUAGGAGCAUUCGCAUAGAAGAAGAACUCUGGAGAUGUAGCAAGAUUGAUGGGCUUCGACUUCAUAGGAAAACCAAACUGUCUCAUAGCAAGCUCGGGGUUGUAGUUAAUUCCUCCACGAGUACCAAGAAGAGGUACAUUGAGAAAAUCUCCACAACCCAUGAUAAUUUCCUUCACUUGAGCGGUAGGAGUGAGCCAGACGACCUCAUUAGGAGUGAGGGCCAUAAUCCGCUGUGAGUAGGACCAAUUCUCCGAGUUGUCAUGGAAGGAACUCGGAAGGUGCGAAAUAAACCACCUAUACAAAAGAGAUAUGCAGCAAAGAAUAUACCCACGGCCCUUGAGAGUCCUGUCAUGAAUGGCGUGGUAGGUGUCUGCUAGUAAAGUAGGAACCGGGUUCUUGGAAUGGAAGACCUCGAUAGCAUUCAUGUCCACGAAGUUGUCGAGGUUCGGAAAGAGAAUGAGCCCGUAGAUAAGCAAAGCAAGAAUAGCCUCGAGUGUAUCCUGACGAGUAGUACUGAGAUUAGCCUGAUCAAGGAGAUACUUCGAAGUGAACCCCCGGAUGUGAGACUUGAUAAUAAGAUGGUUAGAGACGUCGGAAGUCUUGAGGUAGAGAUCCUUAGCAAUAACCAGAGGAGUAAGGGAAGUCCCGGGACCGGCGAAAGGUGUCUUCUCGGCUAUAGGUAAACCCACUAGAUCGGAGUAAGCCUCGAGAGUAGGAACCAACUGGAAGUCCGGGAAAGUGAAGCAACGGAAGCUCGGAUCAUAAAAUUGCACUAGAGUAUGCACUAGCUUCUCGUCCACAUCGGUUCGGAGCAAAGUAAGCAAUCCCCCAUAUCGGAGUCGGAACCCCGUUUGACUCUUGACCUUGAGUGCCAACUCUCUCAAACUAACCAAAUCCACUUCCUUGAACUUGUAGCACUUAGUCUUCUUCAUACCUGUGGUUAUUUACAAAAAUUUCCAUUUGUUUAAGCCCUUCGAUGAAUGUAUGAAAAAAAUGUUUAUGCAUGAAUGCAUGUAUGCAUGAUUUGUGUUGUUAAAGAAUAAAGUGGGUUGAGUUUUAAAGUGACAGGGCCACGGAUGGACACGGCGUCCGGUGAACUAAGGCUUUGUAUAGUAGUAACCAAGGUUCUAACACAGUUCCCUAACUGCAACCUCUCUCACAUAUAUCAUGGUAGUACAGGACGACACCCGUUCCAUGAUUAUUUGUGAGAAGGUCUAGUUUGAGUGUAGUAUUGCGUGACGACUAAAGUUUGAGACAACACUCAAUUUAGCCACCGCACUACGUCCUAAAAAGGCUAGGAUGGGUUUGGUAACUACGGUUCAUAGCUUCGUCGAACAAUUGCAAGUGAAGUGCCUAAGCAUGACAACACACGCCGACAAUAUCACCUCCAAAAUGCCUCAGCUAUGUGAGAUUGAUCGCAUAAUCCAAUACACGAGGCAACCCCCGGAUCGAAUUGUCGAUUAUAUCUCUACCUAAACAUAAGUUCACUCAGCCCGGGUUAGGACUUUUGAUAUUCUCACCCCACACGUUAAAUGAAAGUAAACAAGUAUUCACAUAUGUAAGCAAUAAAACAAAGCGUAAAUAUAAACUAAGGAAAACUAGGCGCGACCCGCUAAAAGUUUUCCCCAGUGAAGUCGCCAUUUCUGUUAUCAUGGUUUUUGGGUGCCAAGCCAUUAAUUGGACUUGAACCUUUUGACCGUUGAUAUCUCUCUUUUUUCUUGGGAAGGGUAAAAGGAGAAAAACCCUUAAAAAGUUCUAGAUUCGGGGGUCGUUUUCGCUACGGGAAGGUGUUAGGCACCCGGAGCGAUUAUGGUAUUCCAUAAGAACCGCUCUCCUAAGUUUAUUUCUACGCUUUAUUUUUAGAGACUAUUUGUAAAAAAUGAAGGUGUGAUUAGUUAAGAAUGGGGGGUGAGAAGAAGUAGAAUUUGAUUUUUAUUUCGGCUUGGAUGAGUUUUGACUCAUUGCCUACGUACCCUUUUAAGGGAUCAAAACCGUUCGUAGUUCAUUCUCAAAAAGGUUUUGUUUUUGUUGGUUGAUUUUAAGUUUGAAAAGAGAUUUUGAAGAAAGGAGAUGAGAGGCCUCAAGAGCAUAAGAUUUGGAAAGUGUGAGGUGGGAUUAGUCAUUUUGCAAAAAUAAAGUCUAAGGAGGAUUAAGAUUUAUUGAAAAUUUUACUUAAGAAAAUAAAGGGGGAAAUAAGGAGUUUUGACUCCAUUUUAUUUUUCAAAAAGGUUUUCAAGUGUUAUUUGCAUGUUUUGGAAAAAAGUUGAUUUUUAUCUAAGUGUUUAAGCCUAAGCAUUCAUCUAACCAUACAAUCCUAUGCAUACAUCUAAGGUGAGUGUGUGCGUCAUAGUGUCCAUAGUCCAUAUUACAAAAAUUCCCUAAAUACAUUCUAUGGCCCCUUUGCCAAGCUACAAACCAAUGAUAACAAAUUACAUCAUUAAAUGGAUUAAAACUUGCAAAAAUGAAUACUAAACUAAAGGAAGUGAAGGAGAUAGUGGUGACAUGGAGAAAUGCUCAUGAAAUGAAUGGAACAAAAGAAAUGAGGUGAUUAGUAAAAUAAAGCAUAAAAUAAGAGAAGUGCACAAAAAGGUAUCAAAAGGAAAGAUAUAAAAGAGACUAAUAAAGUGACAAAAUGUGCAUGAAAGUGGCCAUAAGAUUCUAGCAUGUGUAUGACCUAUGACCCCUUCAUUAUGGCAAAAUUUUAGAAGUCUUACUUUGUGCCAUAAGGUGAGAAUUAAUAGGACAUACUCAAGCUAAAACUUAUGGCACAUUUUUAAGCCAUUUUACACCUUAUUUAAUUAUUAAAACACAUACUAAUUGCAAGGCAAGAAGAAAAAAUAAGAUUCAUAUUCACAAACAGCAAGCCACACAUAGGAUCAGCAACAGGAUUAUCAUAAAAUUGCAUUUCAAAAAUUCAAAUCACAUGUCAACAAUUCAUGGGGGAUAUGCUACUAAAAAUACACAAGUUUAUGUCCAAACACACUAGUUAACCAAGAAAUAUCACAUGUUUUUUUUUAUCAUUUUAAAACCAUUGAGAAAUAUAGAAACAAGUCAUGAAAAUACAUCAAGAAACAUGUGAUAAUUUUUGGAGAUUUUUAGAGAAAAUUUAAUGCAUGCAGGGGUUCGAACAGCAAAGAAAAAUGGUGCAAAUAGCAGAAAACAAACAAAAACGUAGAAAAGAACUAAGCCCAAACCAAAGCCCAAUCCUACAAGGUCCGGAUGCACAGGAACCACACGAUCGAUCCAGGAUCUUGAAACCCUAGAUCAAACGGCCAGGAAUCAAAGGGGAAUGGACCGGUUCUGGACCGGUCCGGUUCACUGGCCUAUAUAAACAAGAGUGCACCGGUUUUCUCAUUUUUUACUUGGCUUUCUCUCUCUAAGUCCUUCUCUCUUCUCUCAUCUCUCACCUCUCUCUAGAAACCUCACCGCCGGUGAGGAUGAAGCUACGGCGGAGACCUUGAAGGUCCGCCGGAAACUUCAUCUUCUCCGGCGAGACUAUGAACUCCGGUGACCUAAAAUUUCCAGAACUUAAAGAUUUUUGUAUUUUCUGGUUCGUCCUUUAACCCUAAACACGAAUCCAGCAGUUGUUUUUUUAAAUACGGCUUGAAACGACGUAGAUCUAAAAAGUUAUGUACGGUUUUGAAACUGAUUUUUGAUUUUUUGAAAGGAAAUGUUUAGAUCGUUAAAGAUCUACAUCGUUUCGUUGUUCGCUGCUCUUCUUUGAUGUUUGUUCUUGCUUUCAAAACUUAGAUCCUUAUGGAUCUAGGUUUUGUGUUUACGGUUACGGUUUCGUCUUUGAGUUCUGGAAAUUUUGGAUCUGUUGCUUGCGUGAUAUUUUUUAGGUUUAACAGUGAUAAUACUUUUGAGAAAAGAUUCUGAGUUUUACCUAAGGUUUUGGUUGAAACCUUUAAUGGAGGAAAUCUUUGGGAAAACUUGAAUGUUCUUGAUGAUUUUGAUUCUUCUGCUUGCUUUUGGACCGAAAAUAAAUCGGUGAUUCUCCUUUUCUCACUGAUUCCGUUUCUUCAUCUUCUUCGCCGGUUUAGAACUUUGCUUCUUUCCUUCUUCUUUUCACGCUCUGUGAUCAACGCUUGAGCUUGCUUCAAUGCGAGCUCGCAUUUGGAAUUGCAGAGAACGAUCAAUUCAGUGAUGAAGAUUCAACAGAAUCUCUGAGAAUUGAUCCAAAAACUGUUGAUUCUGAUGAAUUUUGAUUUCUGGAAAAACGGUUAGGGUUUUGUGUUCUUGGUGAUUUCUCUGUGAUUUUUGGUUUUGAUCUAGCUGCUGAGAAAGAGAAAAUUGGAAUUGUGUUUAUGAGUUGGCGUGUUGUUAAUGGCUUUGAAUCUGACUCACUGUUUAUAUAGUUGACAUGUGUACACUUGAGCCAAUGGAUUUGUGACAUCUGGACAUGGAGAAAAAUGGCACGGCCUUGUAAUUUUGGACCUUGAGGACCUCCCUGCAAUUUUGUAAAAUAUAGGACUGGACUGCAAUUUUAAAAACAGAACUAAAAAAUAUAAAAUUGGACAAUUUGGACUUGAAUGCAAUUUUAACAAAAUUAAGGGACUAAAAUGCAAAGUAAAAAAAAUGAAUUAAAAUUUGUAAUUUUGACCAAACGUAAAGUGAAACAAAAAUAAAACUGACAAAACGAACUAAAACGAACCAAUGGCUUAAAUGAGGUACUUCAAAGUAACCUCCCUAUGCCAAAAUUUC